GACGUGGUAGCUUAGUGGUUAGCACGAGCACCUCGUGUCCCCGGGGUUGGGGGUUCGAAUCCCGCCUCUGCCC